AAAGUAUGAUGAGGACAUUUCUUAAAUAUUUCUUUAAAUCUCUCACAACUUUCAUAAACUGACUUUCCCUCAAACUGAACAAAAGAUGUGAUAUCAUUCCUAAGUUU